rnacentral:rRNA from 1 species
UACGUAGGUGGCAAGCGUUGUCCGGAUUUACUGGGCGUAAAGAGCGCGCAGGCGGUCGAUCAAGUCGCGUGUGAAAGCCCCCCGGCUCAACUGGGGAGGGUCACGCGAUACUGAUCGACUCGAAGGCAGGAGAGGGUAGUGGAAUUCCCGGUGUAGUGGUGAAAUGCGUAGAUAUCGGGAGGAACACCAGUGGCGAAGGCGACUACCUGGCCUGUUUCUUGACGCUGAGGCGCGAAAGCUAGGGGAGCAAACGGG